rnacentral:rRNA from 1 species
AUUGAACGCUGACGGCAAGCUUAACACAUGCAAGUCGAGCGAGCGGCGGACGGGUGAGUAAUGUCUGGGAAACUGCCUGAUGGAGGGGGAUAACUACUGGAAACGGUAGCUAAUACCGCAUACCAUCGGAUGUGCCCAGAUGGGCUUAUCUAGUAGGGGGGGUAAAGGCUCACCUAGGCGACGAUCCCUAGCUGGUCUGAGAGGAUGACCAGACACACUGUAACUUAGAACCGGUCCAGACUCCUACGGUAGGCAGCAGUGGGGAAUCUGGCACAAUGGGCGCAAGCCUGAUGCAGCCAUGCCGCUGGUAUGAAGAAGGCCUUCGUGUUGUAAAGUACUUUCAGCGGGGAGGCGUUACCCGCAGAAGAAGCACCGGCUAACUCCGUGCCAGCAGCCGCGGUAAUAC